rnacentral:rRNA from 1 species
GACGAACGCUGGCGGCGUGCCUAAUACAUGCAAGUCGAACGCUGAAGGAGGAGCUUGCUCUUCUGGAUGAGUUGCGAACGGGUGAGUAACGCGUAGGUAACCUGCCUGGUAGCGGGGGAUAACUAUUGGAAACGAUAGCUAAUACCGCAUAAGAGUAGAUGUUGCAUGACAUUUGCUUAAAAGGUGCAAUUGCAUCACUACCAGAUGGACCUGCGUUGUAUUAGCUAGUUGGUGGGGUAACGGCUCACCAAGGCGACGAUACAUAGCCGACCUGAGAGGGUGAUCGGCCACACUGGGACUGAGACACGGCCCAGACUCCUACGGGAGGCAGCAGUAGGGAAUCUUCGGCAAUGGACGGAAGUCUGACCGAGCAACGCCGCGUGAGUGAAGAAGGGUUUCGGAUCGUAAAGCUCUGUUGUAAGAGAAGAACGAGUGUGAGAGUGGAAAGUUCACACUGUGACGGUAUCUGACCAGAAAGGGACGGCUAACUACGUG